GAUGAACGCUAGCGGCAGGCUCAACACAUGCAAGUCGAGGGGUAGAAAUAGCUUGCUAUUUUGAGACCGGCGCACGGGUGCGUAACGCGUAUGCAACCUACCUUUCACAGGGGAAUAGCCCAGAGAAAUUUGGAUUAAUGCCCCAUGGUAUCUGAGAGUGGCGUCACUUUCUUAUUAAAGUAACAACGGUGAAAGCUGGCCAUGCGUCCCAUUAGUUAGUUGGUAAGGUAACGGCUUACCAAGACGAUGAUGGGUAGGGGUCCGGAGAGGGAGAUCCCCCACACUGGUACUGAGACACGGACCAGACUCCUACGGGAGGCAGCAGUGAGGAAUAUUGGUCAAUGGGCGCAAGCCUGAACCAGCCAUGCCGCGUGCAGGAUUAAGGCCCUAUGGGUUGUAAACUGCUUUUGUACGGGAAGAAACACUCCCUCGUGAGGGAGCUUGACGGUACCGUAAGAAUAAGGAUCGGCUAACUCCGUGCCAGCAGCCGCCGUAACAC
rnacentral:rRNA from 1 species